rnacentral:rRNA from 1 species
AUUGAACGCUGGCGGCAGGCCUAACACAUGCAAGUCGAGCGCGCGGCGCAUGGGUGUGUAAUGUAUGGGGACUGCCCGAUAGAGGGGGAUAACUACAGGAAACGGUAGCUAAUACCCCAUAUUAUCUGAUAACCCACAUGGGAUUAGCUAGUAGGUGAGGUAAUGGCUCACCUAGGCGACGAUCCCUAGCUGGUCUGAGAGGAUGAUCAGCCACAGUGGGGCUGAGACACGGCCCAGAUUCCUACGGAGGAAGCAGUGGUGAAUAUUGCACAAUGGGCGCAAGCCUGAUGCAGCCAUGCCGCGUGUAUGAAGAAGGCCCUAGGGUUGUAAAGUACUGUCGGUCGGGAGGCGUUGCUGACAGAAGAAGCAGCGGCUAAGUCCGUGCAAGCCGCCGCGGUAAUUC